CUGAGUACUGUCUCGCGAAUCGAACCACAACAAAAAUCCCCAUUCCACCUCCACCUUCUACCGGAGCACUACCCGAGGCCGCCGCCGCGCCACCCCGUCCCUGUCCACCUACCGGCGCCGCUGCCGGAUCACCACCCAAGGCCGCUGCCUCGCCGCCCGGCACCCAUCCACCUCCUACUAGCCCCGCCUCCGGUGUACCAUCCCAGGCCGCCGCGAGCACGCCCCGACCCCAUCCACCUUCUACCGGCGCCGUUGCCGCGUUGCCCCGUCCACCUUCUCCCGCAGCCGCGCCACACCUUCCGGCCACCGCAUCCCAGCGCCACCAGAUCGGGCCUCCUCACACCCCUGGACUCCAGAUCGGGCUUGCCCCGUGCUCGUUGCCCCAAGCUUCUUUGCCCCCGCCCCAAGCUUCUCCGCCGCCGGCCUCCGUCGUACCCUCACCCCCACCCCCACCCCGGACUAGCAGUGCCACCACCUCACUCCUCUCUGCCUCCCACACUGGAUUGCAUCCCCACCGCCAGAAAGAGGAUUGCAUCCCCUUCCCCGCCAUUGAUGGCGAGGUCAAUGGUCGAGGCCGUGGCCACACAUGGGGCGGCAAAUAGUGAGCACCCGCACCUCACAUUGCGUCCCCGGCCGCUGGAUCCGUCGCACAAUGCGAUCGAGGGAGCGCAUGGGUGCUCCGCCGCCAGCGAGAUUCCACCCGAUGCCCUGCAGUUCGGUCCAUGUGUGCGCCACAGCCCUCCAUCGGGCGCGCGUGCAAUCCGGCAUGCAUGUAGUGAGCAUGAGGAUCCCGUCAUAGACAUCCACAGUUGGCGCAACACAACUCUGAAUGGCAAAAACCUCAACCUAACAUCUGCAGGUGAUUUCCUCACGUUGACCAAACUUGGGAGAGAUGAUACCUUAAUGCUCCAAUUUCCCAUUAACUUGAGAAUCGAGGCAAUCAAAGGCUGAGCGAUGGUGGUGGCCGAGUGAUGGUGAUGGUGACGGCAUGGAGGCUGCUGCUGUGUUCUAUGGUAUGAAUCCCUCUCCUCCUUGACCUCUGCUUGGUUGCUGCUGCACCAAGAUCCUCUGCUUGUGGGUGUCAUGGUCGUGCAGCUCGGAGAAGCUCGCCAUGCGGUUCAGGGCUCAUACGCGUGCAGUCCAGCGAGCGCCAUGUCUUCCCCUCUGGUCGGUCGACCAUGGCCGUGCAGCUCGGAGAUGCUCGCCAUGCGGUUCGGAGCUCGUGCGCAUGCAGUCCGGCAAGUGCCAUCUCUUCCCCUACAGUCCGUCGACCAUGCCAUGCAACUCAGAGACACUUGCAAUGAGGUUCAGAGCUCGUGCGUGUGUAAUCUGGCUAGUGUCCGUGCAUGUGCAGUCCAGCGAGCAUCCGUGCACAACAGCGCCUCUGCCACAACAUUCAGUAGUGGAUUCCCUAGUUUGGAAAAUGCUAACUUUUGGAUUCUAAGACGAAUUAGGUCCCUUAAUUAUGAUGAUAUGUUGCUAGACCAAUUAGUGUCCAUGCACAGCAGCUUCUAAGACCAAUUUUGAAUUAACUUUUGGAAAAUGGUAAAUUUUGGAUUCUAAGGCAAUUAGUGUCUGUGCAUAUUGCUAGACCAAUUACGUCCCUUAGUCCAAAAGUUUUGGAUUCCGUGUCUGUUGUUCUCUUGUUCAAUUUACCUUCUAAGACUACAUGUGUCCGUGCAUGGAUUAACUUUUGGAUUCUAACACUAAUUGGUCCGUGCACAACAGCUUCUAACAUUUUUCCUUCUUGUGAUGUUGCGCUAGCACUAUGUAUCCCGGGACCAUAUGUUCAAUACUCUCUAGUCUUUUACUAGCAUAUAGGCGCGGCGUGCCUUGUUAUAGUUAAUAGUGUAUACUAUAGUUUAUAUUUGAAAAAAAAAUUAUCUUUUUAUUUAUUAGUCUUCACUUAGGGUGAAAUUUAAUUUAGUUGGUAAUAAUCUGUCUUAAGUGGUCUAAUAUAGGUGUGCACGCAAUACUAUGUUAAAAUCAUGUAUGCGCCAUGUUGCUUUGGUUGGUUAUUACUUAUUCAUUUAAUUUUUUGCAUGUUUAUUAAGUAACAUAAAUUUUGAAUGAUUUUUUUAUGAACAUAAAGGCAUUGUGGAUGCUAAGGUGCUUUAAAAAGGGAAAGUUUUAUUGCAUUAAGUAAUCCAUACAGAUACAUAUCACACAAGGGAAGUACUUUUUUAUGUCGCAUGCUAAAUUUGAGUUUGGUGGAUCUCGGUGAACCAUCUAUGUAGUAUAUAAAUUUUUAUGUACAAUUUUUUUUCCUAUUUUAGUUAUUUGGGUUGUGGCCGCACUUCGCUGGUGCAUUCGUGUGUCAGUUUUUCUAUUUUGUGUGAACUUCUAUUUGUCGCCGUUCAUGUUCAAAACCUGGUACCAGAUCUUCAUGUCUUGUCACAAAUUAUAAAAGGUAAAGGUCCACUAAAAAAGGUAAAGGUGUAUAUUUUCCUUUUGAAAUCUCCUAAAAAAACUAAAAAAAAACAGUUUUUCCAUGAACUGGAUGCCCAAGUGCUGAUACACGAUGUGUGGCUGUAGCAUUUUCUUCUGCAGUUUGUUUUGUCAAACUACGUUUCAUUGCUUUCGUUUUGCCGCUGGUGGGUGCAUGCUUUAAUUGGGCGUAAAUUUCAAAGUGAUGUGACUACGUGCCUGUGCAUGGGGUUGGGAGGCAAGGUGGCUACGUGAAUGAGUGAGUUUUGCAUGGGGAUAGCCACAUGGUUAUAACAUCAACGGUUUUUUUUCCUUUCCAUGCAUACUGGUCAAUAGAUCAUGUGGUUUAAGCGUACACGCACUUUUGGUUUCUUUCAUUUUCGUUUGCAUACGUAGCUAUGUAGCUGCCGGGCUCGAUGUUGUACUCCCUCCGUUCCUAAAUAUUAUCUUCAUGUUGGACUAUUUUUUCUACAAACAGAUACAUGGUUUCACAACAGCUCAUCUAGAAGAUCAAUAAACUUAAAUGAUUUACGCUCUGUACGACAGUGAUGACACGUGAGAUCAAUAAACAAAAGCUCAUGGUGGCGAGUAGUAGUACGUAGAGAUGGAGUAGUACGUAACAUGGCAUGAUGAAACACUGAUCGGGUAAAUUCCAGAGAGCAGAGGAGAAGAGAGCCGCGCCUAGUUGUCUCAAUAUGUUAUCCAUCACAGCGAAUGAGGGAAUAAUUAGCACAUUGACCAUGAUGGGAGCGGAGGAACUAAUUAAUCCACAUGCAACCCCCUAUACAGAACAUCAUGUGAAAUCAUAUGCAGUGCCCUAAGCUGUAGCCUAUGGAUUGCACGUUGCAGCCUGAUCAACUGAACAUGACAUGCAGUUAAUUUGCAACUCAACGUUAUGAAUUAUUAAUUAGUUAUGUGAGCCCAGUAUCUCAGCGUACCUGUGGUGUCACACACGAAUGACCACACCACAUAGACCUGACAUGGUACUCUCAAAAGAAGCUUCUUGCUGAAGAUGGUGUCAUUAUGAUAAAUACUUCAGAUUGAUUUGCUGGUGUUCCCCUGCCUGAAAACGAAAUAUAUGCAAAACGAAACAGUGAUCAAUUAAUUUCAGAAAGCAAAGGAGAGGAGAGCAGCACUUGAGAUCGAGGCCUCUCGUAGUGCCAGCAGCGGAGCACCUUGCCUGUGUCAGCGCAGUCGCUGGCCUCCUCGAGGGCCUUGCGCUGGACCGCGUUGUCCAUGGACUCGUCAGGCGCAACUGGCCCUUGGGGAACACCAUGUCGUGCCCUUCCUGUGAACUGACCACCAACACGUCUCGCUCGCCGUCGCUGACGCCUUCGUCGCACACCCAUAAGUGAUGCAGCCCACCACCAUUCGCCCGCCAAUGCGCGGGCCUCUUCCUCGCCGCAAGAAGGAUCAACCGUGGAAUCUUUAGCUAGCUAGCUAGAUGCUGGUUUCGUUGAAAAAAGUAUAUGAGACAUGGUGGAUGCUGGAGUAGCAGAUGUAGGUUUGCUACCAUGGAUCUGGGGAUCCGCGGGUCACUGCUCACGGCCAAGAGCGCGAGCUCAGCUGUAAGCAGCUAGCCACACCGCGCGCCGGCAGGACCUCGCCGAACACCGGCAUCACCACUGGCUGGAGGCCUCCCGUAGCCGUAGCCGUCGUGCCGUGCUGGUGUCGUACCUCCUGUCCUGUGUCGGAUCAACAGAAGAGAAAACACACUCAAGAGAAAGAAGGGGACAGGGCCUCACGGACAAAGUCCACCUUGACAGAAUUUGAGCGCCGCUCAUGGGACGAUCUUGCUAGCGUGCAGAAGGCCACCGCGAUACAACGGCCGAUCAUCAGAUGCCGGAGCAUGCUCCAUACAUACGGGCCGAGCCGACAAAACGGCUGACGCAGCAGAACGGCCCAAACCACCACGCUGGUGGCAUCGGCGUGCUUCGCUGCCCUCCACCACACUCCCAGUUGCCACCAUGCCACCGACGAUGGCGCGAAGCAGCACCUAGCGACGACCUUACUCGAUGGAGUAGCCAGAACGGCGCAGCCGCCUCCUCCGUGGUGGCUGCCGGUGGCAACGGCGGUGCUCAUGAGCAGCAGCGGGGGCGCCGAGGACCAUUAUGACCGGAGAAGGAGCAACCAUAGAAUCAACCAGCAUCUCUGGCCCUCUCCCGGCGAGCUCGGCGGACUUAAGAACGUGGACACGUUGGCCAUCUACACGACGCUGCUCUCCGGCCUGAUCGUGCUGAAGCUCGCCGAGUCCUUGAGUUGCAGCAGGCCGUAGCUGCCCUAAACGACGACGCAGCCGCCUACCACCGGUUCAUUACGGCUAGAUGAAGAAGAAACCAUCGAGCAACAAUGAAACCACACGCCAUGACACAAGGAGAGGGACAGCCUAUUUAUAGCCCCGCAGCUCACAGGAAGCCUUCCGAAAACACAAGAAAUUCAGCACCGAUGGAAAACAGCGGCAAGCUCUAGAACGAACGACACGCAGGCAAGGAAAUCUCAAGAGGACACGGGAAAAGCGCCACCGAUUGGAAGAAACAUGCAAACCCAACAGCGGCCAAACUGACAGCAACAUCAACAACCAGAAGAAGCGAUCGAGACGACGCCGCCGUGGACUGAACGCAAGCACAGGAAGAAACGCUAAACAUAAACUAAAUCUACCUAAAUAAGUCGUAUGGCAGUUCAAAAAAUUUGAAACGGCAAACCAAAGUCACAGCGCAUUCGUACCCAACCAGGUACCAAACAAAUACACGUGCCCCAUCCAAAUUUACCCGAACAUCAUUUUCAUCCAAGUGGCUGAUUCUUGGAGCAAAAAACUUGCCUGGAAUAGAGGCUUGGUUAUUUUUAGUAAAAGAUGGAACAUGGUCGUGGGCAUUUGCUCAUUCUUUUUUCUUAUCCCUUGCACAUUUUGUUGAAGUGCACCAAGAUCCUCUGCAUGCACCAAACGACUGACAUGCAGGCCAUUGAUUGUGUUCUUUAAAAAAAUUCAAACUGCACUGCCGUCCAUUGUUCUCUUGCUAUUCAGUUUACCCUUUUUUUCAGGUGAAAGACGAACAUCAAAGUACAGAAAAACGUGCACUGCAGUCUCUUGCGGCUUUAGUUUACCAUUCUUCGAGUGAAAAAUGCGCAACAUCGGCUGGCCCUCAAAUGGAGUUCUGCUGGCUAGUAGUGCUGAUUUUGUGUGUAUGUAUGUGAGUGGCUGUAAAACAAUGAAUGGAUGUAUGUGUCUAUGAGCAUCAUCGGCGUCCAUAGACAAAGGCGCAAAACAAAAUGUGCGCCUGCAGUUUGCUUAGCUCGGUCAUGCAGUACAUUGUUUUUGUUUUGUGCGGUCCGUUUGUUUGUUAAAAGAAAUCAAAGAAUGUUGGUUGGAGGUAACAUUCUUUUGAUGCAAAAUGUAAUUUUUAAAUGCA